UCGCACCUACCGAUUGGAUGGUCCGGUGAAGCCUCGAGAUUGUGACUGUCGCCUUUAUUGGUGGCGGUUGCAAGAACUUGUCUAAACCUUAUCAUCUAGAGGAAGGUG
rnacentral:rRNA from 1 species